rnacentral:rRNA from 1 species
UGGGGAAUAUUGCACAAUGGGCGAAAGCCUGAUGCAGCAACGCCGCGUGAGUGAUGAAGGCCUUCGGGUUGUAAAGCUCUGUCUUUUGGGACGAUAAUGACGGUACCAAAGGAGGAAGCCACGGCUAACUACGUGCCAGCAGCCGCGGUAAUACGUAGGUGGCAAGCGUUGUCCGGAUUUACUGGGCGUAAAGGAUGCGUAGGCGGAUUUUUAAGUGAGAUGUGAAAACCCUAAGCUUAACUUGGGGACUGCAUUUCAUACUGGAAAUCUAGAGUGCGGGAGAGGAGAAUGGAAUUCCUAGUGUAGCGGUGAAAUGCGUAGAGAUUAGGAAGAACACCAGUGGCGAAGGCGAUUCUCUGGACCGUAACUGACGCUGAGGCAUGAAAGCGUGGGUAGCAAACAGGAUUAGAUACCCUGGUAGUCCACGCCGUAAACGAUGAGUACUAGGUGUAGGAGGUAUCGACCCCUUCUGUGCCGCAGUUAACACAAUAAGUACUCCGCCUGGGAAGUACGAUCGCAAG